AGUGAACGCUGGCGGUAGGCCUAACACAUGCAAGUCGAACGGCAGCACAGUAAUUGCUUGCUCUUACGGGUGGCGAGUGGCGGACGGGUGAGGAAUACAUCGGACUCUUCUUUUUCGUGUGGGUUAACGUAGGUAAACUUACGCUAAUACCGCAUACGUCCUACCUUUGUAAGCAUUGGAUCUUCUGCCCUUUUGCUUUUGUAUUAGCCGAUUUCGGAGUAGCUUGUUGGCGGGGUAAUGGCCCACCAAGGCGACGAUCCGUAGCUGGUCUGAGAGGAUGAUCAGACACACUGGAAGUGAGACACGGUACAGACACCUACGGGAGGGAGCAGAGGGGAAUAUUGGACAAUGGGCGGAAGCAUGAUACAGCAAUACCGCGUGGGUGAAGAAGGAGUUCGGGUUGUAAAGCCCUUUUGUUGGGAAAGAAAAGAAGCAGGUUAAUACCACGCUGUUCUGACGGUAACCAAAGAAUAAGCACCGGCUAACUUCGUG
rnacentral:rRNA from 1 species